UGGGGGAUAUUGCACAAUGGGCGAAAGCCUGAUGCAGCGACGCCGCGUGGGGGAUGAAGGCCUUCGGGUUGUAAACUUCUUUUACUCUGAACAAGGCGCACCAUGGGGUGUGUUGAGUGUAGGGGUUGAUUAGCGCCGGCUAACUACGUGCCAGCAGCCGCGGUAAUACGUAGGGCGCGAGCGUUGUCCGGAAUUAUUGGGCGUAAAGGGCUUGUAGGUGGCUGGUUGCGUCUGUCGUGAAAGCUCAUGGCUUAACUGUGGGUUUGCGGUGGGUACGGGCUGGCUUGAGUGCAGUAGGGGAGGCUGGAAUUCCUGGUGUAGCGGUGGAAUGCGCAGAUAUCAGGAGGAAUACCGGUGGCGAAGGCGGGUCUCUGGGCUGUUACUGACACUGAGGAGCGAAAGCAUGGGGAGCGAACAGG
rnacentral:rRNA from 1 species